AAUCUCAAUCCCCCUGGGUUUAUGAUCUGGGUCGGACUUGGAUAUGGGCGUCUGCCGGUCACACGGCUCGCCUCAAAUGACUUAGUGGAUCUCUCUGCAUCCGUGACAGACGUAAUAAGUUUCGUCUUGUCCCUUGCUUAUGAGUCUGCUCAUAACCUGCCAUCGCGCACUUUAGA
rnacentral:misc_RNA from 1 species